AAUACUAUCUAAGACUACAUUUUGAGUAUAUCUCUAGAAGAAUAAUGACAAAGCUUUUGAUUUGUGUCCUCCUCAUUGUUACUCUAUUUUUUGUUGGAGCAAGUGCUAACGAAUACGAUUGCUAUCAGAUACAUCCUGAAAUAUCGUGCGAUCAAGAAAAAGUUGAGCCAAAAUGUUUAACAUUUUGUAAGAAGAAGUUUGGAGCAAGAGCUGAUGGCAGAUGCAUUACUGGCUCUCCUGGUCUUAUAUGUGCUUGUUAUUACCCAUGCUAAUCACCCCUUUAUAUCUUAAUAAACAUUAAUUAUUGCUAAAUGCAAUGUUGGCUAUCCAA